GACGAACGCUGGCGGCGUGCCUAAUACAUGCAAGUAGGACGCAGUUGCGAACGGGUGAGUAACGCGUAGGUAACUGCCUAUUAGAGGGGGAUAACUAUUGGAAACGAUAGCUAAUACCGCAUACUAGUAGAUGGACCUGCGUUGUAUUAGCUAGUAGGUAGGGUAAUGGCCUACCUAGGCGACGAUACAUAGACGACCUGAAGGGUGGAUCGGCCAAACGGUGACUGAGACACGGCCCAGACUCCUACGGGAGGCAGCAGUAGGGAAUCUUCGGCAAUGGGGGGAACCCUGACCGGGCAACGCCGCGGGAGUGAAGAAGGUUUUCGGAUCGUAAAGCUCUGUUGUUAAGGAAGCGGUACUUAACGAGAAAGGGACGGCUAACUACGUGCCAGCAGCCGCGGUAAUAG
rnacentral:rRNA from 1 species